GUUAAGCGAACAAGCGUACACGGUGGAUGCCCUGGCAGUCAGAGGCGAUGAAGGACGUGCUAAUCUGCGAAAAGCGCCGGUAAGGUGAUAUGAACCGUUAUAACCGGCGAUGUCCGAAUGGGGAAACCCGGUGCACUUCGGUGCAUCAUCGUUAGCUGAAUACAUAGGCUAACGAGGCGAACCGGGGGAACUGAAACAUCUAAGUACCCCGAGGAAAAGAAAUCAACCGAGAUUCCCCCAGUAGCGGCGAGCGAACGGGGAACAGCCCAGAGCCUGAAUCAGCUUGUGUGUCAGUGGAACGGUCUGGAAAGGCCGGCGAUACAGGGUGACAGCCCCGUACACGAAGGCACACAGGCUGUGAGCUCGAUGAGUAGGGCGGGACACGUGAUAUCCUGUCUGAAGAUGGGGGGACCAUCCUCCAAGGCUAAAUACUCCUGACUGACCGAUAGUGAACCAGUACCGUGAGGGAAAGGCGAAAAGAACCCCGGCGAGGGGAGUGAAACAGAACCUGAAACCGUGUACGUACAAGCAGUGGGAGCCUUCGUAAGAGGGUGACUGCGUACCUUUUGUAUAAUGGGUCAGCGACUUAUAUUCUGUAGCAAGGUUAACCGUAUAGGGGAGCCGAAGGGAAACCGAGUCUUAACCGGGCGUUAAGUUGCAGGGUAUAGACCCGAAACCCGGUGAUCUAGCCAUGGGCAGGUUGAAGGUUGGGUAACACUAACUGGAGGACCGAACCGACUAAUGUUGAAAAAUUAGCGGAUGACCUGUGGCUGGGGGUGAAAGGCCAAUCAAACCGGGAGAUAGCUGGUUCUCCCCGAAAGCUAUUUAGGUAGCGCCUCGUGAACUCAUCUCCGGGGGUAGAGCACUGUUUCGGCUAGGGGGCCAUCCCGGCUUACCAACCCGAUGCAAACUGCGAAUACCGGAGAAUGUUAUCACGGGAGACACACGGCGGGUGCUAACGUCCGUCGUGAAGAGGGAAACAACCCAGACCGCCAGCUAAGGUCCCAAAGUCAUGGUUAAGUGGGAAACGAUGUGGGAAGGCCCAGACAGCCAGGAUGUUGGCUUAGAAGCAGCCAUCAUUUAAAGAAAGCGUAAUAGCUCACUGGUCGAGUCGGCCUGCGCGGAAGAUGUAACGGGGCUAAACCAUGCACCGAAGCUGCGGCAGCGACGCUUAUGCGUUGUUGGGUAGGGGAGCGUUCUGUAAGCCUGCGAAGGUGUGCUGUGAGGCAUGCUGGAGGUAUCAGAAGUGCGAAUGCUGACAUAAGUAACGAUAAAGCGGGUGAAAAGCCCGCUCGCCGGAAGACCAAGGGUUCCUGUCCAACGUUAAUCGGGGCAGGGUGAGUCGACCCCUAAGGCGAGGCCGAAAGGCGUAGUCGAUGGGAAACAGGUUAAUAUUCCUGUACUUGGUGUUACUGCGAAGGGGGGACGGAGAAGGCUAUGUCGGCCGGGCGACGGUUGUCCCGGUUUAAGCGUGUAGGCUGACUUUCCAGGCAAAUCCGGAAGGUUAAGGCUGAGGCGUGAUGACGAGGCACCACGGUGCUGAAGUGACAAAUGCCCUGCUUCCAGGAAAAGCCUCUAAGCAUCAGGUAACAUCAAAUCGUACCCCAAACCGACACAGGUGGUCAGGUAGAGAAUACCAAGGCGCUUGAGAGAACUCGGGUGAAGGAACUAGGCAAAAUGGUGCCGUAACUUCGGGAGAAGGCACGCUGACAUGUAGGUGAAGCCCCUGCGGGUGGAGCUGAAGUCAGUCGAAGAUACCAGCUGGCUGCAACUGUUUAUUAAAAACACAGCACUGUGCAAACACGAAAGUGGACGUAUACGGUGUGACGCCUGCCCGGUGCCGGAAGGUUAAUUGAUGGGGUUAUCGCAAGAGAAGCUCCUGAUCGAAGCCCCGGUAAACGGCGGCCGUAACUAUAACGGUCCUAAGGUAGCGAAAUUCCUUGUCGGGUAAGUUCCGACCUGCACGAAUGGCGUAAUGAUGGCCAGGCUGUCUCCACCCGAGACUCAGUGAAAUUGAACUCGCUGUGAAGAUGCAGUGUACCCGCGGCAAGACGGAAAGACCCCGUGAACCUUUACUACAGCUUGACACUGAACAUUGAGCCUUGAUGUGUAGGAUAGGUGGGAGGCUUUGAAGCGUGGACGCCAGUCUGCGUGGAGCCGACCUUGAAAUACCACCCUUUAAUGUUUGAUGUUCUAACCUGGCGCCGUGAUCCGGCGUGGGGACAGUGUCUGGUGGGUAGUUUGACUGGGGCGGUCUCCUCCCAAAGUGUAACGGAGGAGCACGAAGGUCAGCUAAUCCUGGUCGGACAUCAGGAGGUUAGUGCAAUGGCAUAAGCUGGCUUGACUGCGAGAGUGACGGCUCGAGCAGGUGCGAAAGCAGGUCAUAGUGAUCCGGUGGUUCUGUAUGGAAGGGCCAUCGCUCAACGGAUAAAAGGUACUCCGGGGAUAACAGGCUGAUACCGCCCAAGAGUUCAUAUCGACGGCGGUGUUUGGCACCUCGAUGUCGGCUCAUCACAUCCUGGGGCUGAAGUAGGUCCCAAGGGUAUGGCUGUUCGCCAUUUAAAGUGGUACGCGAGCUGGGUUUAGAACGUCGUGAGACAGUUCGGUCCCUAUCUGCCGUGGGCGCUGGAGAAUUGAGGGGGGCUGCUCCCAGUACGAGAGGACCGGAGUGGACGCAUCACUGGUGUUCGGGUUGUCAUGCCAAUGGCACUGCCCGGUAGCUAAAUGCGGAAGAGAUAAGUGCUGAAAGCAUCUAAGCACGAAACUUGCCCCGAGAUGAGUUCUCCCUGAGACUGUAAGUCUCCUGAAGGAACGUUGAAGACGACGACGUUGAUAGGCCGGGUGUGUAAGCGCAGCGAUGCGUUGAGCUAACCGGUACUAAUGAACCGUGAGGCUUAACC
rnacentral:rRNA from 1 species